ACCGCGAACGGCUCAUUACAACAGCUGUAAUUUACUUGAUCUUGACGCCAAUCCUACAUGGAUAACUGUGGUAAUUCUAGAGCUAAUACAUGCGCCAAAGCCCUGUACCCCGCAAGGGGGAAGGGUGCAUUUAUUAGACUAAAACCAGGCGCCCCGCAAGGGGUGUGCCCGCGUUGACUCAGAAUAACUCCCGCAGCUGAUCGCACGGUCCUCGCACCGGCGACGUGUCUUUCAAGUGUCUGCCUUAUCAACUUUCGAUGGUAGUGUACCUGACUACCAUGGUUGUGACGGGUAACGGAGGAUCAGGGUUCGACUCCGGAGAAGGGGCCUGAGAAAUGGCCACUACGUCUAAGGAUGGCAGCAGGCGCGCAAAUUACCCACUCUCGGCAAGAGGAGGUAGUGACGAGAAAUAACGAGACCGUUCUCACAAGAGGCCGGUCAUCGGAAUGGGUACAAUCCAAACCCUUGGCACGAGUAUCUAUGAGAGGGCAAGUCUGGUGCCAGCAGCCGCGGUAAUUCCAGCUCUCAAAAUGCAUAGAACCAUUGCUGCGGUUAAAAAGCUCGUAGUUGGAUCUGCGCCGGCGGGCGAGUCCCCCCUCACCGGGGCGGCACCCGCUCCCGCCGGCUAUGCGGCGGUGCUGGUGGGCGGUGGCCCUCACGGGCCCCGCACAUCCACCCGCCACGUUUACUUUGAACAAAUCAGAGUGCUCAGCACAGGCGUCUCGCCUGGAUGUUCGUGCAUGGAAUAAUGGAAGAGGAUUUCGGUCCUGCUUUUAUUGGUUUUGAGCGACCGAGAUAAUGGUUAACAGAGACAAACGGGGGCAUUCGUAUUKCUGCGUGAGAGGUGAAAUUCUUGGACCGCAGCAAGACGGACAACAGCGAAAGCAUUUGCCAAGAGUGUCUUCAUUAAUCAAGAACGAAAGUCAGAGGUUCGAAGGCGAUCAGAUACCGCCCUAGUUCUGACCGUAAACGAUGCCAACUAGAGAUCCGCCGGUGGAUACAAACGCCCUGGUGGGGAUCUUCCCGGAAACGAUUAAGUCUUCCGGUUCCGGGGGAAGUAUGGUUGCAAAGCUGAAACUUAAAGGAAUUGACGGAAGGGCACCACCAGGAGUGGAGCCUGCGGCUUAAUUUGACUCAACACGGGGAAACUCACCCGGCCCGGACACCGCGAGGAUUGACAGAUUGAUAGCUCUUUCAUGAUUCGGUGGAUGGUGGUGCAUGGCCGUUCUUAGUUCGUGGAUUGGUCUGUCUGCUUUAUUGCGAUAACGAGCGAGACUCUAGCCUACUAACUAGUCUGCGUGCUCCCACCGUGGAGGCACGCCCCUCAGAGACUUCUUAGAGGGAUUUUCGGCGUUCCAGCCGCACGAAACUGAGCAAUAACAGGUCUGUGAUGCCCUUAGAUGUCCGGGGCUGCACGCGCGCUACACUGGCGAAAUCAGCGUGCCUGUCCUCUCGCGAAAGCGACUGGUAAACCGGUGAAAAUUCGCCGUGAUUGGGAUCGGAAAUUGCAAUUAUUUUCCGUGAACGAGGAAUUCCAAGUAAGUGCGAGUCAUCAACUCGCGUUGAUUACGUCCCUGCCCUUUGUACACACCGCCCGUCGCUGCCCGAGACUGAGCCAUUUCGAGAAAUUUGGGGAUUGCCGGGGGCUGGGGGGCAACCCCCUCCCCAGGUGAAAACCAACUUAAUCGCAGUGGCUUGAAUCGGGCAAAAGUCGUA
rnacentral:rRNA from 1 species